AAAUUGAAGAGUUUGAUCAUGGCUCAGAUUGAACGCUGGCGGCAGGCCUAACACAUGCAAGUCGGACGGUAGCACAGAGAGCUUGCUCUUGGGUGACGAGUGGCGGACGGGUGAGUAAUGUCUGGGGAUCUGCCCGAUAGAGGGGGAUAACCACUGGAAACGGU
rnacentral:rRNA from 1 species